GGGUCUCUAUGGGUCUCUAUGGGUCCCUACGUGUCUCUAUGGGUUCUCUAUGGGUCCCUACGUGUCUCUAUGGGUCCCUAUGUGUCCCUACGGGUCCCUGUGGGUCUCUAUGGGUCUCUGUGGGGUGUCUAUGGGUCUCUAUGGGUGUUGAUGGGGUCUCUAUGGGUCUCUAUGUGUCCCUAUGGGUCCCUAUGUGUCUCUAUGGGUCCCUAUGGGUCCCCAUGGGUCCUACGAGUCCCUGUGGGUCUCUAUGGCUCCCUAUGGGUCCCUAUGGGUCUUUACGGGUCCCUAUGGGUCCCUACGUGUCUCUAUGGGUCCCUAUGGGUCUGUAUGGGUCGCUAUGGGUCCCUACGUGUCUCUAUGGAUCCUAUGGGUCCCUAUGGGUCUCUAUGUGUCCUAUGGGUCCUAUGGGUCCCUAUGGGUCCCUAUGGGUCCCUACGUGUCUCUAUGGAUCCUAUGGGUCCCUAUGGGUCCCCAUGGGUCCUACGGGUCCCUGUGGCUCCCUAUGGGUCCCUAUGUGUCUCUAUGGGUCCCUAUGGGUCUUUAUGGGUCUCUACGGGUCCGUGUGGGUCUCUAUGGGUCCCUAUGUGUCCCUAUGGGUCUGUAUGGGUCGCUAUGGGUCCCUAUGUGUCCCUAUGGGUCCUAUGGGUCCCUGUGGCUCCCUAUGUGUCCCUAUGUGUCCCUAUGUGUCUCUAUGGUUCCCUAUGGGUCUUUAUGGGUCUCUAUGGGUCCGUGUGGGUCCCUAUGGGUCCCCAUGUGUCCCUAUGGGUCUCUAUGGGUCUCUAUGGGUCCGUGUGGGUCCCUAUGUGUCCCUAUGGGUCCUAUGUGUCCCCAUGUGUCCCUACGGGUCCUAUGUGUCCCCAUGUGUCCCCGUGUGUCCCUGUGGGUGCGACUCACACGAGGUGGGUGCAGUCGGGCCCCCACUGCGGCCGGUACUUCGCCCCCAUGUUGACGGCGGCGGCCCUCAGGCGGCCCCGCAGCGGGUGGGUGAAACCGCUCAGCGCCACCACCACCCCCCCCAGGACCCCCGCCCCCUUUAUGGGGUCG
rnacentral:lncRNA from 1 species